UUCGAGGGGGUCGACACUAAUCGAUUUGGUUCAAUUUUCAUGCGAUAAGACGUAAUUUUAUUUGAUUAUCCACAUUAUUCACAACAGUUUUCAUUACAUUUGAUUUGAAAUCGAUUUUAUCGGAUUUUUCCCAUUUUCCAAGUUUUGGUCUGGUUUUCGUCGGUUUUAUGCUUUCCAUUUUCAUCAAAAUGGCAAAAAUCCGAAAUAUCCGAAAAAAUCGAACAUAAUGACGAAAAUCGUCUGAGAAUCGCCCAAUACCGUUUAAAAUCGCUAAAAGCGUUUCGACGUCGCGACGCCGAAUUUGACAGCUCUUCCACCUAACAAAUCUCGCUUUACAUUUGAAAAGGGCUUAUCCCUAAAAUGUAAACAAAUCGAUUUUGAUACCUUUCCAUAGCAUCCCCCAACAGUAACAUACUGUGCAAACAUCACCCGCAUAACCGUUAAUCUUAUCAGAAUAAACCCCACCUUCAAAACGGCCGAUCAUUGCUUUUUUUUCAAUCAUUCAUAAGCCCGUGCUCCAAAUGGGCCAGUAACGGUAAAAUUUUGUUUUCAUUUGUUGGUCCUCUCGUUUAAAGGGCCGACAACCGAAAAUUUUCCGAACGGCUCUCGGCGCGAGUGCCGAGAGAGAGAAUUCUCUCUCUAAAAAACGGCCAAGCCUUGAUACGAUGUCAACAACGGACUCACACGGGGGACCAAUCCACGCUAAGAAAAUUUUAGAAAGACUCACAAUAAGGCUUACACCGGGUGAAAUUUUUCAAAUUAGCUUAACAUGUUUAUCUAUAAUUUUUCAUACUUUUUUGAUAAUUUUUAAUGCAAACUUGAUUAUUGAAGCAUAGAUACAUCUAUUCUUGUAUCAUUAAAACGAAACGCAUGUUGAAAAAUCCGAAAACUGUGAAAUACGAAUAGGAAAUGUGAUGGAAAAUGUUUGCAUCGAUUUUUCUCAAUGUUUACGUUCUAGGGAUAGGCCCUUUUCAAAUGUAACGCGAGAAAUCAGCUGCGUCGAUCCAUCAGCUGUUCAAUCAAAACAAGUUCUGAGUUGAAUCCACAGUUCAACAACUAUGAACCUGAGCUAUGAACUAUCUCAGGAAUUUAGACUGACCAAACGACACCAUGUGGAAGGCGUCUUGAGGCGCAAAAACCGGAAUUAGGAGUAACGGUUCCGAUCGGCACUGGAAGAGGAACAGCGGAGAUCAUUAGCAAAUUGCAUUGGCUGAAUCUGUCAGAACUGGGUGGAAAACUGCCAAAAAAGGAUUACCAAGCAAAUCGGAAGAGCCCUCAGACGAGUACCGCAGGAUUAUUUGGAAUAGCUACCAGCGGUUACCAGUAAACCGGUUUUACGAACACCUCUGGACAGCCCCAUUUUCGGAGGAUUCGCUGCUCAGAUUCAAACCGACAGCCGGAGGAUUGCUCUCGGAAACUGCCAUUACCUCGGCCAUUACGCAAUGAUGAGAGCGCUGAAAGUGUGUCAGCUUUUUCUACAAAAUUGCUUCGUCAAAUGUGUCUAAUUUCAGAUAAAUAAGAACUAAAUAAAAAUAGCAUGCAUUGUUAGAUAAAUCUAUUUUUUUCUGUUUGGUUUAAAAAAAAAACAAGGUGGGUUAAAAUAAGACGCUUGUUGAGAAAAGCUUUUUUCACGAGUCUCACAAUAUAAUAUGUAGUA